GACGAACGCUGGCGGCGUGCUUAACACAUGCAAGUCGAACGAUGAAGCCGGAGCUUGCUCUGGUGAAUUAGUGGCGAACGGGUGAGUAACACGUGAGUAACCUGCCCUUGACUCUGGGAUAACUGCGGGAAACUGUAGCUAAUACCGGAUACGACCCUCGGAGGCGUCUCCUGGGGGUGGAAAGAAUUUCGGUCAAGGAUGGACUCGCGGCCUAUCAGCUAGCUGGUGAGGUAAAGGCUCACCAAGGCGACGACGGGUAGCCGGCCUGAGGGGGUGACCGGCCACACUGGGACUGAGACACGGCCCAGACUCCUACGGGAGGCAGCAGUGGGGAAUAUUGCACAAUGGGCGCAAGCCUGAUGCAGCAACGCCGCGUGAGGGAUGACGGCCUUCGGGUUGUAAACCUCUUUUAGCAGGGAAGAAGCGAAAGUGACGGUACCUGCAGAAAAAGCACCGGCUAACUGCGUGCCAGCCGCCGCUGUAA
rnacentral:rRNA from 1 species